rnacentral:rRNA from 1 species
UACGUAGGGGGCGAGCGUUGUCCGGAAUUAUUGGGCGUAAAGAGCUCGUAGGCGGUUUGUCGCGUCGGCUGUGAAAACCUGGGGCUCAACCCCGGGCCUGCAGCCGAUACGGGCAAACUAGAAUUCGGUAGGGGAGACUGGAAUUCCUGGUGUAGCGGUGAAAUGCGCAGAUAUCAGGAGGAACACCGGUGGCGAAGGCGGGUCUCUGGGCCGAUAUUGACGCUGAGGAGCGAAAGCGUGGGGAGCGAACAGG